rnacentral:lncRNA from 1 species
AAAAUGUAAAAAUGGCCUUCGAUGAGACACUUUCCGAUUCCCGUUCUGCAUAAUUCUUCCACCAUUAUAAUCGCAAUUUCGUUCUCUACAGGUUAACCGAAGCACAACACUCAAUCGCGAAGAUGAGCUGGUGGAGCUGCUGUACCGGAGAAACCCGCCGCCGAUAAGUUUCGAUUUUUUCAACUUUUUUAGUAACCAAAGCGCAUUA